GCAUUGGUGGUUCAGUGGUAGAAUUCUUGCCUUCCAAGUAGGAGACCCACGUUUGAUUCCUGGCCAAUGUA
rnacentral:tRNA from 1 species